rnacentral:tRNA from 3 species
AGGGAAGUAGCUCAAUCGGCAGAGCAGGUGCCUUUGGAGCACAAGGUUAAAGGUUCGAGUCCUUUCUUCCCUG